CUGGUUAGGCCGCAGGUCCAUGGGGACCACCUGUGAGAAAAGCGGGUCUGACACCCCCAUGUGUGUACAGAAUGGCACCAUUUCAUAGGGAAACACCAAGCGCCAAGAGCACUGGCUGCCUCUGGGAGAGGAGUUUUCCACUGUACCUUUCGCAUUUUAAGCCACGUGGUUACAACAGUCCCUAAACAUAGUCAGAAAAAACAGGAUGGGAUAGACAGCAACAGCAGCAGAAAUGGGGGAGCGUCCGGGGGUGCACAGGGUGGCACCCGCGUGGCUGGUGUGCAGCCUGGGGCUGUGGCAGGCUCUGGGCCAGGACCCAUGGACCCCUUUGGUUGCCCCACCAGGAAAACGUGGCAGGAGCUGAGCCAGCAACAUGUUCCGUGUGCAGACCUGGGCCUGGCUGUGCAAGGCACGAUCCAGCACAUUGAGGACCACAGCCGGGACAACCUCCUGCCUCGAGUCAGGGCCUUGUGCCAGAGUCUGCUAAGGGGCCACUUUGGGAAGAAGGACAAGGAUCUGGUUGGAGCUCUGCAGUCCCUGUGGCAGGGCCUGGAGGGCUGCCCCAACAUGCACUCUACUCCCGCGUACAAGAGAAUCAUGCGAAGUUUGCACACGGUGGUCUUUGGGGAGUAUGUCCAGGCCCUGGCCACCCACCUCAGGACGCUGGAGCCUGGGACGUGGGAGGGCCUCGGGGUUCAGGUGGAGACAGACACCAGGAAGUUGCACGACAUCUUCACGAAGCAUGGGGUGAGCCGUGGCCGCUCGGGUAGGCUGAGUGCUGGGGGGCUUUAUUCUCCCUUUCCAGUUCUUGCCUCUCCUGGCCCCCUGCCUGGGCUAUGUGUGCUCUCCUCACUCAAACCACAAUCAGACCUGACAGCACUGGGCCUUGAAUCCCGCACACAAGGCUGGGGCCACCUGCUUUCACGGCAAAGGCUGAGGUGGGGGCAGGGAUGUUGCAAGCUGGGGGGAGGCAGCCCCCGCCCCCCCAGGCCAGGACAGCCUGUGGGAGCUCAGGAGGUAACAUCAGCAGGACCAGGAAGCUCUGACCAGCAGUGA
rnacentral:lncRNA from 1 species